CCUUGCUUCAUUUGGUCACAAAGGCAUUCGAUCUAACUUUUGACCCACUGGACCAAUUUGUAGGAUUUUGACAUAUGUUUGUAUUCGGAGUAUGCUGAUUCUGAAAAUGUAAGUUUUAUGUGAAUGUGAUGCAUACUUUUAAAGUUAUGAAUAAUGUGGAAAAACUGUAUUUCUCUGCCUGUGAUAAUUACAUUAACCCAGUGUGUAAGGUAAUUGUAUCACAGGCAGAGGGGAGGAUUUUGUGUGGGAGUGUUUGUAUGUGUUUAUUGGUUGUUUUACAAAACCCUGUCGGUGGUACUAAUGUGUAUAUA